rnacentral:rRNA from 1 species
CCUACGGGAGGCAGCAGUAGGGAAUCUUCCACAAUGGACGAAAGUCUGAUGGAGCAACGCCGCGUGAGUGAAGAAGGGUUUCGGCUCGUACAGCUCUGUUGGUAGUGAAGAAAGAUAGAGGUAGUAACUGGCCUUUAUUUGACGGUAAUUACUUAGAAAGUCACGGCUAACUACGUGCCAGCAGCCGCGGUAAUACGUAGGUGGCAAGCGUUGUCCGGAUUUAUUGGGCGUAAAGCGAGUGCAGGCGGUUCAAUAAGUCUGAUGUGAAAGCCUUCGGCUCAACCGGAGAAUUGCAUCAGAAACUGUUGAACUUGAGUGCAGAAGAGGAGAGUGGAACUCCAUUUGUAGCGGUGGCAUGCGUAGAUAUAUGGAAGAACACCAGUGGCGAAGGCGGCUCUCUGGUCUGCAACUGACGCUGAGGCUCGAAAGCAUGGGUAGCGAACAGGAUUAGAUACCCGGGUAGUC